rnacentral:lncRNA from 1 species
UGAGCGCGCGUUUAAGAUCCAUUAGAUCUGCCAGGUCAAUUAAUGAACUGGAUCCAACGCCUCUCCUUUUUCCUGAUUUUCUGAAUUUCCAUUUAAUUUCUUUUAUUUCCAUUAUUUUCAAAAAUUCAUAUCUCCUUCAUUUUAAUUCCAAAAAAUAUGGGACCAAUUGCAUUCUUCUCCAAAUAAUUUCUAGUUUCUAAUUUUGAUUUUUAAUAUUUUUUAUUUUGUCAUUUGAUAUUUUUUAUGAAUUUUCUCUUUUCUGGUUA